AUUGAAUGCUGGCGGCAGGCCUAACACAUGCAAGUCGAGCGUGCGGCGGACGGGUGAGUACUGUCUGGGAAACUGCCUGAUGGAGGGGGAUAACUACUGGAAACGGUAGCUAAUACCGCAUACCAUCAGACGUGCCCAGUCGGGAUUAGCUUGAGGGUGGGGUAACGGCUCACCUAGGCGACGAUCCCUAGCUGGUCUGAGAGGAUGACCCGCCACACUGGAACGUAGACACGGUCCAGACUCCUACGGGAGGCAGCAGUGGGGAAUAUUGCACAAUGGGCGCAAGCCUGAUGCAGCCAUGCCGCGUGUAUGAAGAAGGCCUUCGGGUUGUAAAGUACUUUCAGCGGGGAGGCGUUACCCGCAGAAGAAGCACCGGCUAACUCCGUGCCAGCAGCCGCGGUAAUAA
rnacentral:rRNA from 1 species